CACACCGCCCGUCACACCAUGAAAGCCUAUUGUACCAGAAGUCGCUGUGCUAACCGUAAGGAGGCAGGCGCCUAAGGUAUGGUCGGUGAUUGGGGUG
rnacentral:rRNA from 1 species